rnacentral:rRNA from 1 species
UACGAACUGCGCAAACGUUAUUCGGAAUCACUGGGCUUAAAGGGUGCGUAGGCGGAUUUGUAGGUCAGAUGUGAAAUCCCACGGCUCAACCGUGGAACUGCGUUUGAAACCACAAGUCUUGAGGGGAUCAGAGGAGAGCGGAACUGAUGGUGGAGCGGUGAAAUGCGUUGAUAUCAUCAGGAACACCGGUGGCGAAAGCGGCUCUCUGGGAUCUUUCUGACGCUGAGGCACGAAAGCUAGGGGAGCGAACGGG